ensembl:lncRNA
CAGGAAGCAAAGGCCGGACGGAUCCCUUGGACCCUCCAGCGACGACAGGAAGCAAAGGCCGGAGCGGUCCUUCGGACCCUCCAGCGGAGACACGAGGCAAAGAGUCCACUAGCCGACAUAAAGGCAGCUGGCACUGCACGGAGCACUGGCUUUGCCCAGGCAACACUAACAUGGAGGAGUUCUCUGAGGGCUGCUUAAUCUUCAGGGGUCCAGUAAUAGCUGGGGGGUGAAACCUAGCUUCUGGGGAAGCCCUGGAGUGCAUUACUUCGCCUGAAGCAGCUAAAGAGCAAGAAUCUCCCUGGGUGGAACUAAGACCUUCUCCCUGCCUAAAGUGAGAGUGUGAGACUGG